rnacentral:rRNA from 1 species
CGUAGGGGGCUAGCGUUGUCCGGAUUUAUUGGGCGUAAAGAGCGUGUAGGCGGCCAGGUAAGUCUGGUGUGAAAACUCGAGGCUUAACCUCGAGAUGUCAUCGGAAACUAUCUGGCUAGAGUCCGGAAGAGGAAAGUGGAAUUCCUGGUGUAGCGGUGAAAUGCGCAGAUAUCAGGAAGAACACCAAUGGCGAAAGCAGCUUUCUGGGACGGUACUGACGCUGAGACGCGAAAGCGUGGGGAGCGAACAGGAUUAGAUACCCUGGUAGUCCACGCCGUAAACGAUGGGCGCUAGGUGUGGGCGGUGUCGACUCCGUCCGUGCCGAAGCUAACGCAUUAAGCGCCCCGCCUGGGGAGUACGGCCGCAAGGCUA